GGGGAUAGAGGGAGCUACCUCUAUUUUUCUGUUCAAUGUCUUAGAUUAGGCUCUGAUCUAGGAUGUCUGCCGCUAUUUGUUUAUUUUGAACACGUUGUUGAGAUUUUUACCCUUAUAUUGGGAUUUGGAGAUUUUAUGUAUUGAUGCAUAUGGAGUUUUGACAUGUAUACUUGGAGAUGUAUAUCCGCUGCGUAGUUGCUUGAAUUUUUAUGCAUGUUAUGUUUUGGAGAACUUUUGUAGAUGUGACGUCUAUUUCUUGAAUAAUUGCAUUAUUCGUGUAUUUUAUCGCUUUAAUAGAAAUAUGACGUUACACCUUAAAUUAUCAUGAUUUCCCUUCAGUUUCUUCCAUCAUAUUUCUUUUAUUAGAGAGUACAUAUGUAGUUGAUUUACGUGCUCUCAUCUGUAACACUAGGGUCGGGAGUGAUCAAUUGAUUAUGUAUUUUAAAGUUUAAAGUAUUAUAAUUUGUGACUUAGUUUUGGAUGUUGAAACUUGAUUUAUUCUGCUGAGUUUUGAUAAACUAUUUCUGCGGUUAUUUGAGAUAUUUAUAUUACGAAAUUGUGUUGAUGUUGAGCAUGUGUAACACAUGUUUUUAUUAAAUAU
rnacentral:lncRNA from 1 species